GCAAAUCAAUUUCUUAUCAGUAGGUGAGUACUUAUCUACAGCCUCUCUACACUUCUACCAAAGAGUUUGGACUUUUUCAAGUGUAUGCUGAGCUUUAUUGGUGUGUGUGUUUGUGUGUGUGUGUGUGUGUGUGUGUGUGUGUGUGUGUGUGUGUGUGUGUGUUUUUUCUAGAUAUACCCAGUUUAACAAUGGGGAUUCUGCCCAUUCUCUCGAUCCUUUACGCUCUGUUUGCCAUGAACAUGGCAACAGAUGCGGUGGCCCCAGCUCAGCCUAACACUCUAGAGUUGUCGAAGAAGAUGGACGUCACUCUUAACGAUGCCUUGGCCAAAAGUGAGGAUAUUGCCUCUGACAAUCCAGUGGAGAAGCAGGAGGAGGAAGUGGCUGAUGCCCUGGGAGAUGAUGAGGAUGAUGAGGAUGCUGCUGCUGACACUCCAGGUGGGU
ensembl:lncRNA